CAAUAACGACUCUCGGCAACGGAUAUCUAGGCUCUUGCAUCGAUGAAGAACGUAGCGAAAUGCGAUACUUGGUGUGAAUUGCAGAAUCCCGUGAACCAUCGAGUCUUUGAACGCAAGUUGCGCCCGAAGCCUUCUGGCCGAGGGCACGCCUGCCUGGG
rnacentral:rRNA from 6 species